rnacentral:rRNA from 1 species
AUUGAACGCUGGCGGCAGGCCUAACACAUGCAAGUCGAGCGGAUGAAGGGAGCUUGCUCCUGGAUUCAGCGGCGGACGGGUGAGUAAUGCCUAGGAAUCUGCCUGGUAGUGGGGGAUAACGUCCGGAAACGGGCGCUAAUACCGCAUACGUCCUGAGGGAGAAAGUGGGGGAUCUUCGGACCUCACGCUAUCAGAUGAGCCUAGGUCGGAUUAGCUAGUUGGUGGGGUAAAGGCCUACCAAGGCGACGAUCCGUAACUGGUCUGAGAGGAUGAUCAGUCACCAUGGGACCUAGACCAGGUCCCGAACCCUUAGGGGAGGCGGCGUGGGGAAUAUUGGACAAUGGGCGAAAGCCUGAUCCAGCCAUGCCGCGUGUGUGAAGAAGGUCUUCGGAUUGUAAAGCACUUUAAGUUGGGAGGAAGGGCAGUAAGUUAAUACCUUGCUGUUUUGACGUUACCAACAGAAUAAGCACCGGCUAACUUCGUG